UGCACCUCCCAUGCCCUCUGACCUGGGCGUGAGGUGUGUCGAUCGAACCAGUCACCGUGUCAGCUAAUCUGACAGCCGGCUUUUGUUGUUUUCCCGGAUAAAAUUGUAGGGUUAGGCUUCGUGGAACGGCAUCGUACCAUCCGGAAGUGUUACUCAUGUAUCGCACCAUCCCAGUACAUGUCUAAAACAGGAAGAAGCGGUUUUAUAUAGACCAAGAAUCGCCAAGGAAGCGGCCCAACUCCAAGAGAUCGCGUCGCGUCCUAUCGGACGGUUUAUCAGAAUUCCUUGGCACUUGAGGGACGAUCUUGGCCGAGAAAAAUGUGCGGGUUUCCGAAGAAUCUGGUGUACGUGUUUGUGGACCUGGUCUGCGUGCUGAUAGUUGCGCUGCCCAUCAUCAUACUGAAGUUUGCAGGCCAGCCGUCCCAGCGCGGGUUCUUCUGCGAUGACCAGACGAUCAGCUACCCGUUUCACGAGAGCACCGUUCCAACAUGGAUGCUGGUCAUAUUCGGUGGAGGCAUCCCUGUGCUUUGUAUGUUAGUGGGAGAGGCAGUUUUUAUCUCCAGAUCCACCAAGUCUGAAGGGGAGGAGACCAAGAAGUUUCCCUUCCUUCCGUACUUCGUCCGUGUCUACAAGACUGUCGGGAUCUUCUUAUUUGGCGUCCUGUCCACUCAGUGUCUAACAGAUAUCUUUAAGUUCACGAUCGGUCGUUUGAGACCCAACUUCCUGUCAGUGUGUGCUCCUGACUACAGCACUUUUAACUGCACAGACGACAUGGGGCGAUACGUCUACGUCACUGACUAUGUCUGUACUGGGGACCCUCAGGAGACUAAAGAAUCAAGGUUGUCCUUCGUAUCCGGACACGCCUCAAUGUCAUUCUUCUGCAUGGUCUAUCUGGUCUUGUACCUGCAGGUACGAAUCAAGUGGCGGCAGUCAUGGCUCCUGGAUUGUUUGUUUAUUUGUUUAUUUGUUUGUACAGUCUCUCCCACAGUUGUUUAUUUGUUUGUUUUUACAAUCUUUCCCCACAGUUGUACCUGCAGGUACGGAUCAAGUGGCGACAGUCAUGGCUGCUGAAGCCCUUCCUACAGGUUUUAGCCGUUAUCCUGGCCCAGCUGACGAUGCUGUCCCGUAUCACCGACAACAAGCACCACUGGAGCGACGUCCUGGCCGGCAGCGCGCUGGGGACCUUCAUGGCGAUACUGGUGGGUCUGUCAGUCUCCGACCUCUUUCCGAAGACUUGGCGGAAGCUUGACCAAUCAGUUGCCCCCAAGGGUACCACGCCCAGACUGGAGGAGGAGGAGGAAGAUAAGUUGGAGGCGGUUGCCGUUGACAAUGGUGAAAAUGGGAAGAGGAACAGCCAGGGCAUGACAAC